rnacentral:lncRNA from 1 species
GCGUGUCUCAGUGACAAGCUCUGCUGGUUGUGUCCUGCCCCUGUGACAGGUCUGAAGCAGACGUGAAACACCAAACAUGCUGUCCCAAAGGAGAGGGCGAAUAUCCUCUCCCAUCAAAAGGGAGAGUGACCUGAUUUCAGACUUGCUUUGGGCGAUGAGGGUGAGUGUUAUCCUUCCCUUCCAGCUAAUGGAUCUGACGGCUUGAGUAGGGGGACUGCCUGACCCACGAAGCAGUCUGAGGCCUGAGGAAGAGAUGCUGCUGACAGGCAGAACGAGGAUGCAGGCAGGGCCACCCAGGGAUUUUGUUCACAGAACGGAAUGAGCUGCAAAAGGGAUAAAGAUCAUUCACAGGAACCUUGAAAGAACUGCUUGAGCUCCAUGAAAUGAAGAUUAAAAAUAAAACAGGGAGGGGCAACAAGUCAGCUGACAGCUGCACUGUCAGCUGGUGUCACCAUGAGAAUGUGAUGGGAGAAGGGUUGGACCUGCAGGACCCUGUGCUGCAUGUGCAACCAUGGAGGAUGUCCUUACCACUGGUCAGUGCCAAAUUCACUGCAAGAUGA